rnacentral:lncRNA from 1 species
GAAUGCACCAAAUGCUGAAAAACCCUGAUUACCCAAUCUUAUUCAAUCUUUUAUGACUGCGCAAACUUAACAUCCACAUUUCUAGUAAAUUCCAUAUUCUGGAUGGAUUGGACGUCAGAAAUUCCAUUUACUCCAUAGACUUACCUUUCACUUGGAAAUUCCGUAGUAAACCUCAACUAUUCUAUAGUGUUGUGUAACACUCCUCUAGUACUCCAUUUCCGCCAUCCCAUUUCAAUUCUAUGAGUUACAUCUGUCAUGUUUUUCUCCUAAAAGACUUCUCUAAUCUAUGAAUUGAGGAAUCUAGACACCACCAUCCCGUGUCCAUUUAACCUUUAUUCGUUUUAUGGGGCUAAAAGGUGAUGACAAAAAGAUAAAAUAAAGAGAAGGAAAAGGGAGAAAAUCUUUAAGCCACUUGAAUUUGGUAUCUGCUACGAACUUUCAGCAACCAUAUUUAGGGAACUCCGAAAUUUUAUCUAAGAGAAAUUUUAGAAUAAGAAUGAAAUGGAGUCAAACUGAGAGGAAUGGAUAUCAAGGAUUAUAUAGCCAACACUGAACUAGAUUGAAAUCAGGGAGUAGGUUUUGUUGUUAAGUGAUACAUUCCGAUAUUCUGUAGCUUUCUUCUUAUCUUACCUCAUAUGCUCUGCUAAAAUGCACUGUUUAUUCAACUCAUUACAAUCUGUCCAAGUCUGACACAGAUCAAAUUACCAUUAUUCUCCGAAGUUAUCAACCCCAAUUUAGCCAUUGCUCCUCUCUUUCAUCUGUCUAAAGUUUAGUCCUCAAAGGAGUUUUUUCCUUCAAGUUCAAUAAUGCUUAGUGCAGAAAUCAUAAAGAAGAUUCUGCAUCAUUAUCCGACCUCAUCACACACACCAACAAGAUGCUCCUUGCCUCCUCAUAACUCUUAAUUCGACCAAUAUUGGUCUAAUAACACAAAUAUUUCCCUUUGAUGCUCUAAAUGAAGCACAAAAUCUAUGGUUACAUGAACUCAGGCUCCCAUACAUCUCCAGUACAUGUACAACCAGCUUUUAGCUGGUGGAGUGUACGGCUAAGCAUCGACCAUGUGUCUCUAGCUUUUAACAAGUUUUAAUUGUGUUUUGGAGGAGUUGCGCAACACAUUACCCAUAUGAAAUUCAUUAAAAACUAAAGAAAAGGGUCCACAUAAUGUCGUCACCAACCCACUCCAUACAAGUCAAGAAAGCCGAUUAUAAUUUGUGUAACAAGUUCAAGUAAAUCCCAUUUUUAUCCGGGAGAUGCAAUAUCUUUGUGUGAGAGAGAGAGAAAGAGAGAGAGAUGCAGCCUUGUAAUGAGAACCAUGAAGAAGGGUGUAAGUUACAGAAGAGAUUACAACAACAAUAAUAAUAUUAAAUAGAAAAGAACCUUCUAAGGGGUCGUUU